rnacentral:rRNA from 1 species
GCACAACGCGAAGAACCUUACCUACUCUUGACAUCCAGAGAACUUAGCAGAGAUGCUUUGGUGCCUUCGGGAACUCUGAGACAGGUGCUGCAUGGCUGUCGUCAGCUCGUGUUGUGAAAUGUUGGGUUAAGUCCCGCAACGAGCGCAACCCUUAUCCUUUGUUGCCAGCGGUCCGGCCGGGAACUCAAAGGAGACUGCCAGUGAUAAACUGGAGGAAGGUGGGGAUGACGUCAAGUCAUCAUGGCCCUUACGAGUAGGGCUACACACGUGCUACAAUGGCGUAUACAAAGAGAAGCGACCUCGCGAGAGCAAGCGGACCUCAUAAAGUACGUCGUAGUCCGGAUUGGAGUCUGCAACUCGACUCCAUGAAGUCGGAAUCGCUAGUAAUCGUAGAUCAGAAUGCUACGGUGAAUACGUUCCCGGG